CCUACGGGAGGCAGCAGUGGGGAAUCUUGCGCAAUGGGCGAAAGCCUGACGCAGCCAUGCCGCGUGAAUGAUGAAGGUCUUAGGAUUGUAAAAUUCUUUCACCGGGGACGAUAAUGACGGUACCCGGAGAAGAAGCCCCGGCUAACUUCGUGCCAGCAGCCGCGGUAAUACGAAGGGGGCUAGCGUUGCUCGGAAUUACUGGGCGUAAAGGGAGCGUAGGCGGAUAGUUUAGUCAGAGGUGAAAGCCCAGGGCUCAACCUUGGAAUUGCCUUUGAUACUGGCUAUCUUGAGUUUGGGAGAGGUGAGUGGAACUCCGAGUGUAGAGGUGAAAUUCGUAGAUAUUCGGAAGAACACCAGUGGCGAAGGCGACUCACUGGCCCAAUACUGACGCUGAGGCUCGAAAGCGUGGGGAGCAAACAGGAUUAGAUACCCUGGUAGUCCACGCCGUAAACGAUGAGUGCUAGUUGUCGGCAUGCAUGCAUGUCGGUGACGCAGCUAACGCAUUAAGCACUCCGCCUGGGGAGUACGGUCGCAAGAUUAAAACUUAAAUGAAUUGACGG
rnacentral:rRNA from 1 species